rnacentral:rRNA from 1 species
GACGAACCGUCCAAACGUUAUUCGGAAUCACUGGGCUUACAGAGUCCGUAGGCGGUCUGGAAAGUUGGGUGUGAAAUCCCUCGGCUCAACCGAGGAACUGCGCUUGAAACUACCAGACUCGAGGGAGAUAGAGGAAAGCGGAACUGAUGGUGGAGCGGUGAAAUGCGUUGAUAUCAUCAGGAACACCGGUGGCGAAGGCGGCUUUCUGGGUCUUACCUGACGCUGAGGAACGAAAGCUAGGGGAGCGAACGGG